GUGCCCGUAACUCAGUGGUAGAGUGUGAGAUUGCAAUCAGUUUGACACAGUGUAUUAUCUUGAAGCCCCGUGUUCGACCCACGGCGGGCACU